rnacentral:lncRNA from 1 species
CAGCUCUAUCAGUGUCACAGAGAUGGUGCUGAUUUACACCAGAGUGGGGUCAGAGAGCAGAGUCCCUCAGCACCCAGAGCAACAGGGAUGGUAAAAAAUCAGCCUGAGGCUUUUCUCCUUUGCUGCUUUGCUUUUUCAGAUCUCUGCCAUGGAUGAUUUCUGCCUCUUCUUCCAGCAGGACAUGGAUGUGGCAGCUGCUGAGGCUUUGCAUAAGUGGGAAGGGUAUUUAUUUGAUAUUCUGAACUGAGGAACUUCCAGGAUUUUAUUGCUUGAUGGGCCUGAUCUUUAAGCCAGGCAUAAUUUGAUUUGGAUAUUCAUAACCUGAGUGGAGAAAAACCAGUUUAAAACAAGGAAAAGCAUACACCAUGGAGACUCACAAAAUCCCCUAAGAAUGUGAGAAAUAAAUGUGUGGAUGUAUGUAGCUGCAGCUUCACAGGCUACCAUUGUGGCAUUGUAAAGAUACCUCAUUAUUCCAGGGAGCUUGUGGAAGUGUUUGUGCCUGUUUGUGUGCACAGUGAACAAUGCCAUGGACUAUUCACUGCAGUGAUAAAUUGUGCUUACUCCCAUGUCAGAACAAGUAAGAGAACUGAGGUUCUUCCUAAGAUAACAACUGACGUCUUUUGCAAGAGAACGUAAUUUCCCUAAUGACUGUCUGAAUUCUGGAAAAUAAGGAUUUCUGUAAAGAACUGCUCCCGUGCUCUCCUGCAGCAGAAUUGCCCAGAUUUGCCCUGCCAGGUCUGCUUGAUGUGAAAUGUGGAGCUCUGGAGCAGCAGGUAUGUUCCUGGAAUUCUGCUUACAGCAGUAAAAUCUACAGUUCAGCAGAAGGAAUAAUAGUCACAAUUGUCACUGAAGUGUUUUGACACUUGUUCCUAAAGCUCCUUCAGAACGUACACAGAGUGGAUCAUUUAUUUUAAUGAAAUUCUGUCUAACACAGGCUAUUACUCACUCUCCCUCCUCUGAUUUCUG